rnacentral:rRNA from 1 species
GAGUUUGAUCCUGGCUCAGAUUGAACGCUGGCGGCAGGCCUAACACAUGCAAGUCGAGCGGUAGCACAGAGAGCUUGCUCUCGGGUGACGAGCGGCGGACGGGUGAGUAAUGUCUGGGAAACUGCCUGAUGGAGGGGGAUAACUACUGGAAACGGUAGCUAAUACCGCAUAACGUCGCAAGACCAAAGUGGGGGACCUUCGGGCCUCAUGCCAUCAGAUGUGCCCAGAUGGGAUUAGCUGGUAGGUGGGGUAACGGCUCACCUAGGCGACGAUCCCUAGCUGGUCUGAGAGGAUGACCAGCCACACUGGAACUGAGACACGGUCCAGACUCCUACGGGAGGCAGCAGUGGGAAUAUUGCACAAUGGGCGCAAGCCUGAUGCAGCCAUGCCGCGUGUGUGAAGAAGGCCUUCGGGUUGUAAAGCACUUUCAGCGGGGAGGAAGGCGGUGAGGUUAAUAACCUCAUCGAUUGACGUUACCCGCAGAAGAAGCACCGGCUAACUCCGUGCCAGCAGCCGCGGUAAUACGGAGGGUGCAAGCGUUAAUCGGAAUUACUGGGCGUAAAGCGCACGCAGGCGGUCUGUCAAGUCGGAUGUGAAAUCCCCGGGCUUAACCUGGGAACUGCAUUCGAAACUGGCAGGCUAGAGUCUUGUAGAGGGGGGUAGAAUUCCAGGUGUAGCGGUGAAAUGCGUAGAGAUCUGGAGGAAUACCGGUGGCGAAGGCGGCCCCCUGGACAAAGACUGACGCUCAGGUGCGAAAGCGUGGGGAGCAAACAGGAUUAGAUACCCUGGUAGUCCACGCUGUAAACGAUGUCGAUUUGGAGGUUGUGCCCUUGAGGCGUGGCUUCCGGAGCUAACGCGUUAAAUCGACCGCCUGGGGAGUACGGCCGCAAGGUUAAAACUCAAAUGAAUUGACGGGGGCCCGCACAAGCGGUGGAGCAUGUGGUUUAAUUCGAUGCAACGCGAAGAACCUUACCUGGUCUUGACAUCCACAGAACUUUGCAGAGAUGGAUUGGUGCCUUCGGGAACUGUGAGACAGGUGCUGCAUGGCUGUCGUCAGCUCGUGUUGUGAAAUGUUGGGUUAAGUCCCGCAACGAGCGCAACCCUUAUCCUUUGUUGCCAGCGGUUCGGCCGGGAACUCAAAGGAGACUGCCAGUGAUAAACUGGAGGAAGGUGGGGAUGACGUCAAGUCAUCAUGGCCCUUACGACCAGGGCUACACACGUGCUACAAUGGCAUAUACAAAGAGAAGCGACCUCGCGAGAGCAAGCGGACCUCAUAAAGUAUGUCGUAGUCCGGAUUGGAGUCUGCAACUCGACUCCAUGAAGUCGGAAUCGCUAGUAAUCGUAGAUCAGAAUGCUACGGUGAAUACGUUCCCGGGCCUUGUACACACCGCCCGUCACACCAUGGGAGUGGGUUGCAAAAGAAGUAGGUAGCUUAACCUUCGGGAGGGCGCUUACCACUUUGUGAUUCAUGACUGGGGUGAAGUCGUAACAAGGUAACCGUAGGGGAACCUGCGGCUGGAUCACCUCCUU